AACGAACGCUGGCGGCAUGCCUAACACAUGCAAGUCGAACGAGAACUUCGGGUCUAGUGGCGCACGGGUGCGUAACGCGUGGGAACCUGCACUUAGGUUCGGAAUAACUCCCCGAAAGGGGUGAUAAUACCGGAUAAUGUCUUCGGACCAAAGAUUUAUCGCCUUUGGAUGGGCCCGCGUUGGAUUAGCUAGUUGGUAGGGUAAAAGCCUGCCAAGGCGCCGAUUCGUAGCUGGUCUGAGAGGAUGAUCAGCCACACUGGGACUGAGACACGGCCCAGACUCCUACGGGAGGCAGCAGUGGGGAAUAUUGGACAAUGGGCGAAAGCCUGAUCCAGCAAUGCCGCGUGAGUGAUGAAGUCCUUAGGGUUGUAAUGCUCUUUUACCCGGGAUGAUAAUGACAGUACCGGGAGAAUAAGCGCCGGCUAACUCCGUG
rnacentral:rRNA from 1 species